CAGUCGCCGCGGGAAUACGAAGGGUGCAAGCGUUACUCGGAAUUACUGGGCGUAAAGCGUGCGUAGGUGGUGGUUUAAGUCCGUUGUGAAAGCCCUGGGCUCAACCUGGGAAUUGCGGUGGAUACUGGGUCACUAGAGUGUGGUAGAGGAUAGUGGAAUUUCCGGUGUAGCAGUGAAAUGCGUAGAGAUCGGAAGGAACAUCUGUGGCGAAGGCGACUAUCUGGGCCAACACUGACACUGAGGCACGAAAGCGUGGGGAGCAAACAGGAUUAGAUACCCGCGUAGUCCCUGUCUCUUAUAC
rnacentral:rRNA from 1 species